rnacentral:rRNA from 1 species
GUGAGGAAUAUUGGUCAAUGGGGGAAACCCUGAACCAGCAACGCCGCGUGUGGGAUGAAGGGGCUUUGCCCUGUAAACCACUGUCAGAAGAGAAGAAAAGCCCCUAUGCGGGGCUGGGACUGUACCUUCAGAGGAAGGAUCGGCUAACUACGUGCCAGCAGCCGCGGUAAUACGUAGGAUCCGAGCGUUGUCCGGAAUUACUGGGUGUAAAGGGUGCGUAGGCGGGCUUGUGCGUCAGAGGUUAAAUAUCUCGGCUCAACCGAGAAAAUGCCUUUGAUACGGCAAGCCUUGAGUAAAGGAGAGGAUGGUAGAAUUCCUGGUGUAGCGGUGAAAUGCGUAGAUAUCAGGAGGAAUACCUGUGGCGAAAGCGGCCAUCUGGCCUUUAACUGACGCUGAGGCACGAAAGCGUGGGGAGCAAACAGGAUUAGAAACCCUAGUAGUCC